ACCUGUACAACCCACAAACACACACAAUCAAUACAGUGCUGCCACCACCAUCAUCAUCAUCCUGUCCUCAUGCUAGACAGCUGCUUUGUUUUCCACAGAAGAAACAACCACAUACUGGAUUCAAGCAACAUGAGGCCUGAGAGUCUCUGAUAACAGUAUGGAUGGAGACUGAUGAGGAUCUCACCGAUGUCUCAGCGCUGAGGUUGUUGUAGAUGAUUCUGGUGAACGGAUCAGAGACCGAACGAAACACAGGUGAACAGACAGAGCUACAGUCAAACGGAGGAAAGAAGCAAAGAGCAGACAUCUGUGUGUUCAUCACAUGACCAGCAGAAGACCGGAAACGAUGCUAAAGGUGUGAGCGCUAAACAGUCUUAUAACCUCAUUCGUAUUUGAUAUACCUUCUCACAGCAUUCUCAAAUAAAUGUCCUUAUGAUGUUAUUGUAGCCUACUUGAUGAACAUUCUAAGUGACAAUAUGCUAGUAACUUGCUAAUCAUGCUAGAAACAUGCUAGUAACUUGCUAAUCAUGCUAACAAUAUGCUAGUAACAUGCUAAUCAUGCUAGUAACAUGUUAACAACAAGCUAGUAACAUGCUAAUCGUGCUAGAAUCAUGCUAGUAACUUGCUAAUAAUGUUAAUAACAUGCUAGUAACGUGCUAAUUAUGUUAGAAAACAUGCUAUCAACUUUAUUAAUCAUGCUAGAAACAUGACAGCAACAUGCUAGUAAUUUGCUAAUCAUGUUAACUACAUGGUACUAACAUGCUAAUCAUGCUGGAAACAUGCUAGCAACAUGUUAUCAACAUGCUAGUUAGCUACAACAUAUCAGCGUCAUGUUAUCAACAUGCUUAUCAUGUUAACAACAUGCUAAUCAUGCUAGAAACAUGUUAACAAUAUGCUAGUAACAUGCUAAUCAUGCUGGAAACAUGCUAGCAACAUGUUAUCAACACGCCAGUCAUGCUACAACAUAUUAGCGACAUGUUAUCAUCAUGUUAAUCAUGCUAACAACAUGUUAAUCAUGCUAGUACCAUGCUAAUCAUGCAAGAAACAUGUUAACAAGCUAGUAACAUGCUAAUAAUGCUAGAAUCAUGCUAGUAACUUGCUAAUAAUACUAAUAACAUGCUAGUAAUGUGCUAAUUAUGUUAGAAAACAUGCUAGCAACUUGUUAAUCAUGCUAGAAACAUGAUAGCAACAUGCUAGUAAUUGGCUAAUCAUGUUAACAUCAUGGUAGUAACAUGCUAAUCAUGCUGGAAACAUGCUAACGACAUGUUAUCAACAUGCUAGUCAUGCUACAACAUAUCAGUGACAUGCUAUCAACUUGCUAAUCAUGCUAACAACAUGCUAAUCAUGUUGAAAACAUGCUAAUGACAUGCUAAUAAUGAUAACAACAUGCUAGUGACAUGCUAAUCAUGCUAACAACAUGUUAUCAGCACACUAAUCAUGCUAACAGCAUGCUAGCAACAUGGUAAUCAUGCUGGAAACAUGUUAACAACAUGCUAAUAAUGCUAAAUUAUCUAAAUUUUCAAACUUCAUGCUUUUACAACUGCUUUAAACUUUCAAGCUAGGGUUUCUCAAGCCAACCUAAAGUUUGUCUUAACAAACUUUUUUGUCUAGUUUCUAGUAACUAUCAUAAACCUAGAGUUGUAUUCAGCAUUAUAAAUUCUGUGAUCAAUCCAAGUGAGAGAGUUGAUGAGUCUUUGACUUGUGAAGAUUUUUGACAAUUUGUUUUGUGAACAAGAUUAUGACAAUUAGAUCUGAGACUGUUAAUUGUAAUUUGGAUCCUUCUGUUCCUACUUUGUGCUCUGCUACGUUCACAAAUUUUUUGCCGGUAUCUUUGGUGACACUCACUGAGAUUUUAAGUCGGAUGAAACCCACCAACUGUCCUCUGGUUAGUAUUCCAUCAUGGCUGUUUAAAAAGGUCUUUGAUAUUAUUGGCCCAAGCAUUCUGUCUAUUAUUAAUGAUAGGUUUGAUGCUGUCGUCACUGAAACAUGCUGUGGUGCAACCACUUCUUAAAAAGACAAAUUUGGAUCGUUCUGUUCUGUCCAAUUUCUGACUGAUUUCAAAACUUCCGUUUUUAUCUAAGGUUUUAGAGAAAAUUGUUUUUAGUCAACUACAGAGUUUAUUGAUUUAAAAUGCUGUGUUAGAGACUUUUCAGUCCAGCUUUAAAGAUUACCACAGUACUGAGUCUGCAAGCACUUAAUGAUAUUUUAUUAUUUAGUGAUUGUGUGGUUCUUUGCUCUUAGAUCUAACUGCAGCUUUCGAUACGAUUGAUCAUGGGAUCCUUGUUUCAGGCCUUGAGGAAGUGACAGGUAUUCAGGGUACCGCUCUUAAGUGGUUUAGAUCAUUCCUAUAGAAUAGAAGUUUCUCUGUCAAAUCAGGUCUAGCAUUUUCAUCUUCUGCCCCGUUGAUGUGUGGUGUCCCACAAGGAUCCAUUCUUGUCCCUAUUUUAUUUUCUUUAUACAUUUUACCUUUAGGGACAAUUUUUCGAAAGUAUAGGAUUUCCUAUCAUUUUUAUGCAGAUGAUAUGCAAAUUUAUUUGCCUUUGAGGAAAAAUCAUGUAAAUGCUCUGGACUCCCUUGUGAAUUCUUUGAAGGAGGUUAAAGCCUGGAUGUCAGCAAGUUUCUUAAAUUUUAAUGAGAGUAAGACAGAACUUUGGUUAAGUUUGGUUUGGAGGUUCUUAUGCGCCUGAACUGUCAAAUUUAGGUGAGCUGACUCCUUUUUGUAAACCUGUGGUCAAAAAUCUAGUGGUAUUAUUUGAUAAUACCCUCAAAGCCGUUAAAUAAUUUUUUUUUUCUGUUUACGA